rnacentral:rRNA from 1 species
ACGAACGCUGGCGGCAUGCCUAACACAUGCAAGUCGAACGAGACCUUCGGGUCUAGUGGCGCACGGGUGCGUAACGCGUGGGAAUCUGCCCUUGGGUUCGGAAUAACAGUUGGAAACGACUGCUAAUACCGGAUGAUGACGUAAGUCCAAAGAUUUAUCGCCCAAGGAUGAGCCCGCGUAGGAUUAGCUAGUUGGUGAGGUAAAGGCUCACCAAGGCGACGAUCCUUAGCUGGUCUGAGAGGAUGAUCAGCCACACUGGGACUGAGACACGGCCCAGACUCCUACGGGAAGCAGCAGUGGGGAAUAUUGGACAAUGGGCGAAAGCCUGAUCCAGCAAUGCCGCGUGAGUGAUGAAGGCCUUAGGGUUGUAAAGCUCUUUUACCCGGGAUGAUAAUGACAGUACCGGGAGAAUAAGCGCCGGCUAACUCCGUG